UCCGGCCUUUAUCGAAGCUGUAUAUUUCGUUCGUGAAAUAUGUCAGUCAAAUCAAGGGCUAUAAGAAGGAAAUUCCCCUAUCGGUCGCGGUUUAGACUCUUUAUGUCUUUAACGUAUUACCAAGGGGACCUACAAUU